CCUACGGGAGGCAGCAGUGAGGAAUAUUGGUCAAUGGGCGAGAGCCUGAACCAGCCAAGUAGCGUGCAGGACGACGGCCCUAUGGGUUGUAAACUGCUUUUGUAUGGGGAUAAAGUCAAUCACGUGUGAUUGUUUGCAGGUACCAUACGAAUAAGGACCGGCUAAUUCCGUGCCAGCAGCCGCGGUAAUACGGAAGGUUCGGGCGUUAUCCGGAUUUAUUGGGUUUAAAGGGAGCGUAGGCCGGAGAUUAAGUGUGUUGUGAAAUGUAGACGCUCAACGUCUGACUUGCAGCGCAUACUGGUUUCCUUGAGUACGCACAACGUUGGCGGAAUUCGUCGUGUAGCGGUGAAAUGCUUAGAUAUGACGAAGAACUCCGAUUGCGAAGGCAGCUGACGGGAGCGCCACUGACGCUUAAGCUCGAAGGUGCGGGUAUCGAACAGGAUUAGAUACCCCGGUAGUC
rnacentral:rRNA from 1 species